CGGACGGGUGAGUAACGCGUGGGUAACCUGCCUCAUACAGGGGGAUAACAGUUAGAAAUGGCUGCUAAUACCGCAUAAGACCACAGUACUGCAUGGUACAGUGGUAAAAACUCCGGUGGUAUGAGAUGGACCCGCGUCUGAUUAGGUAGUUGGUGAGGUAACGGCCCACCAAGCCGACGAUCAGUAGCCGACCUGAGAGGGUGACCGGCCACAUUGGGACUGAGACACGGCCCAG
rnacentral:rRNA from 1 species